AAUGUUUCUGACCUUGACCCCAAUUUUCCUUCUUCCGUUGUGUCUCUUUUGCAGAAAUACCAGGAUGUGUUUCCGGAUGAGAUACCUUCAAGUUUGCCACCUAUUAGGGGUAUUAAAUACCAAAUAGAUUUUAUUCCUGGUGCUCAAAUUCCGAAUAGACCAACCUAUAAAGUAGUACAACUGAGACUAAGGAACUUCAAAGAGAGGUAGAUGAGCUUUUGGCCAAGGAACAUGUUCGUGAGAGCAUGAGCCCUUGUGCGGUUCCUGUUUUGCUU
rnacentral:misc_RNA from 1 species